UCGGGCCUCCACUCCCAGAGCUGCGUUGCAAACUGUUGCAUCAGACAGCAAGCAGCGCCCCACGCCGCCAAGGUUUCUAGGAAGAUGACGAGGUUUUGAGCUCCUCCUCGGUGGUUUAGGCGCUUUGGCUGCCCCGCCCUGUGUAUACACGCCGGCAACAGAAGCCCCUGAAAUCUCAAGCUUGCGGGACUGGAUGAUAUCCGAGGGACACUUGCUUCCCCCCCACCCAGGGCCGGCCGUAGGCAGGCAGAACCUACUGAACUGUAUUGGGUUUACCUUCUUAACGGCGAGGACCCUGAAGGAAAGAGCAGGGUGUGGACGGUGAAAGUCUAUUUUGAUUGAAUAAUCGUGAGAGUUAACAGAAGCUCAGUGUUCUUCCUUCCCCUGAUGAUUGUGACUCACUUAACUCCAAGAGGCAAUUUUAAAAAUGACUGAAAGCCAGAACAAGAGCGAACCGGUUGGGACUUGAGAAGCCUUGAAGGGACGGCAGUUGCUCAGUCUAAAGAAGCAGGUCUAAGAGAUUGGAGGUUUAGGAGGGGAAUCACCUGAAGAAGGAAAGCCGCGGCAAGGUGUCUGUAGGCAGUUUACGCUCUUGAAAACUCCUUGCACGUGCGGCAGCGCCCUCUGCCGGCAGCAGGGGGACAAAUCUUGAGCCUGGCCCCGCGGCUGGUCAAAUGGGACUCAGGAUCCCUUCUGCUGCCUCCGCCCCCGCUCCGUCCCUUCUCGUGAUCGCGCAGCCAGGUCUGGGACUGAAUUCCAGAAGAGGCAUCCUCAUCCUAUGCCUGAAGGCUGAGCAAGGACGCCGCUCUAAAACACCCGGUUCAUCAGCAGAGCGGAGGCUGCAGGAACCUACCCAAACCCACCUGGGGCUGCUUUUGCCUCCCGGAAACCUGGGCGGAAGCCUGCGGGGCUGUCGGAGGUGGUUUGGAAGUGGCGUCGCCUAUGGCCAAGACCGAGGGUUCUGCGGACAGAGAGGAGCCCUGGGGUCGCUUUCUGCCUCAACCAGCUAGGUGACCUUGGGCAAGGUACUUAAAUUUCCACGUGCCUUGUUUUCCUCCUCUUUAAGAUGGAGAGAACGCUCCCGACCUUAAUGGGUUGGUUUGAGAUUUACAUGAGAUCUGACAGUCUAGGUUGGUAUUCUGGCAUUGACACCAGCUAGCUACGUGCCCUGGGGCAGGUUACUUAAUCUCUCUGCCCUGGUUUCCUGCAAAGUUGGGAUCAUAACGGUACUUACCUCUGAGGGUUGUUGCCUGCAAAGCGCUCAACACUGCCUUGGCAGAGUAAGCGCUCAAUAAACCGUGGCUAUUAUGGCUGUUGUCGUCAUUAUUGUCCUUAAGAGCGCUGAGCACAGGAGCUCUAGCUGGCUGGUUAUUAUUAGUCUGUUUCUCGGGUUUGGCUAUUUCUUUCCCGGCAUUGUUAAAAAAAUCUUUAUUAUUCUUAUUCUAUACAUAAACUAUUAGCUCGCGUCCUUAUCAGUAGCUGAACUAAGAGCCUUCCCGAAUUAGCAAAAUCUAGGUUCCCUGGGAGGAGGGCCAAGGAUGCGGCAGCGGGCUUCAAGGACUCGGACCUGCUGGGAGGAAGCCCGCGCCGGGUUAGCGCUCAGCCGCGGUGACGUCGCCAGGCCCUCGGCUCAGGGCCCCGGAGGCGCGGCCUGCGUUCGCCAGGCGCCUGCGGUGGUGGGGAUGGCCAGGUGGUACCCUGAGCCGAACUCCAGCUGCUCUGGUGCCCUACUCUCCGAGGUGGCAGAGAAGAAACUGCUUGGGCCAGCAGCCUCGCGCCUGCCACUGCGGGGCGCACCCGGGGCUCCGACUACAAUCUCACCGGGAGGCUGGAGGUGACAACCUCUGCUAGGGUGUCCAGGCCCCGCCCAGCCUGGCACACCGCUAGCUUCCUGGAGGCUGCUCUGCAUCCUCUUGAUCCUCCCUAUCCCGGUCCUCCAUCCUCCUGAAACCCAUUCCUCAUCAUCCCGCAGGGCCCCAGUUCAGUUUCAGCUUCCUCUGCUCUCCUUGUGACCGACUCCUCCUCGGUCUCCGGCACCUCCCAUUCGCCCGCAGCGCCGGGAGCACGCCCCGCAGGUCCACUUAGCUUGCCGUGCACGCAUCUCCAACUCGCCGCAUCUUGUCCCCGUUAGUCUCCAUCGCAGUGAAGGUGACACCACCCACCCGAUCUCUAGAAAUGGGUCCUGGAUGUGUGCCCCCCCCACACCCCGCCCCACCCCGCAGUGGCUAC